rnacentral:ncRNA from 1 species
GGUUGGGCGAAUUCAAUAUUCGCUUUCAAGAGUUAAAACUUCUGGGGUGGGAAGCU